UUGAAUUUUGAAUUAGUGGCGGAAAGGAGACGUCAUGAUAAAUUUCGAUACUAAAGUGGGAAAUCGAAAGUCCAUUUAUAUUAAAUUUAAUCAACAUUGUGAUUAAAUGGAACUGUGCGAAAUAUUGACGAUUAGCUGAGAAAUACAAAGAAAGAUGAUUCGUUUACAGGUCCGGAUCGGGGUCAAAACGCAUUCAAAUGCUCAGAUAUUAAUGCCAAAACUUCCGGCCAAGCCACAUGUGAGUUAUUGCGAGACACCUCACGAAACAAAAUAUGUGCCACGAGUUCUAUUGUGGAGAAGAUCAAUCAAUAUUCCAUCAAUUGAAGUUUUAUGACCCAUUCACUGAAUACGAACGUGUGGUAUCCCCUGUCACCUGCGUCGUAAAUGUUGUUUUUAUAAUGAUGAAAAUGCAUUUCGAACACCGAAGAGGGAAAGAGCGAACGAGAUGUAAAAACAUCUAAAAAGUUGAGAAAUAAAAAAACUCAUAAAACUGGAAUGAACCGGCGGUGUGUACAAAGUCCGGAAACUGUUUGUUCCCUCAAUAAAACAGUAAAAAGUCAA